GACCGAUUUCCUUCUUUGUAGAAGCUUCAUUUUCGGAGCCAUUUCCACAGCCAGAGCAAGCAAGAGUCUUAGGAGAUCAAAUGUGUGAGGAGAUAGAGGGUUUUUAGGGGAAGGAUAGGAAUUUUUGGAGGAGUGAUACCCCUAUUUGGAAGAGACGGGUAAAAUCUAGGGCAUGCUCAAACCGCUCCAAAUAAGGGAGGAGAAGGGGAAGAACUUGAUUCCAA
rnacentral:lncRNA from 1 species